CCUGCCUGUAAGACUGGGAUAACUCCGGGAAACCGGGGCUAAUACCGGAUGGUUGUCUGAACCGCAUGGUUCAGACAUAAAAGGUGGCCUCGGCUACCACUUACAGAUGGACCCGCGGCGCAUUAGCUAGUUGGUGAGGUAACGGCUCACCAAGGCGACGAUGCGUAGCCGACCUGAGAGGGUGAUCGGCCACACUGGGACUGAGACACGGCCCAGACUCCUACGGGAGGCAGCAGUAGGGAAUCUUCCGCAAUGGACGAAAGUCUGACGGAGCAACGCCGCGUGAGUGAUGAAGGUUUUCGGAUCGUAAAGCUCUGUUGUUAGGGAAGAACAAGUGCCGUUCAAAUAGGGCGGCACCUUGACGGUACCUAACCAGAAAGCCACGGCUAACUACGUGCCAGCAGCCGCGGUAAUACGUAGGUGGCAAGCGUUGUCCGGAAUUAUUGGGCGUAAAGGGCUCGCAGGCGGUUUCUUAAGUCUGAUGUGAAAGCCCCCGGCUCAACCGGGGAGGGUCAUUGGAAACUGGGGAACUUGAGUGCAGAAGAGGAGAGUGGAAUUCCACGUGUAGCGGUGAAAUGCGUAGAGAUGUGGAGACUCUCUGGUCUGUAACUGACGCUGAAGAGCGAAAGCGUGGGGAGCGAACAGGAUUAGAUACCCUGGUAGUCCACGCCGUAAACGAUGAGUGCUAAGUGUUAGGGGG
rnacentral:rRNA from 1 species